ACAGCAGUAGCCGCGGGAAAACGUAGGUGGCAAGCGUUGUCCGGAAUUAUUGGGCGUAAAGGGCUCGCAAGCGGUUUCUUAAGUCUGAUGUGAAAGCCCCCGGCUCAACCGGGGAGGGUCAUUGGAAACUGGGAAACUUGAGUGCAGAAGAGGAGAGUGGAAUUCCACGUGUAGCGGUGAAAUGCGUAGAGAUGUGGAGGAACACCAGUGGCGAAGGCGACUCUCUGGUCUGUAACUGACGCUGAGGAGCGAAAGCGUGGGGAGCGAACAGGAUUAGAUACCCCCGUAGUCCCUGUCUCUUAUAC
rnacentral:rRNA from 1 species